UGGGGAAUAUUGCACAAUGGGCGCAAGCCUGAUGCAGCCAUGCCGCGUGUAUGAAGAAGGCCUUCGGGUUGUAAAGUACUUUCAGCGAGGAGGAAGGCGGUAAGGUUAAUAACCUUAUCGAUUGACGUUACUCGCAGAAGAAGCACCGGCUAACUCCGUGCCAGCAGCCGCGGUAAUACGGAGGGUGCAAGCGUUAAUCGGAAUUACUGGGCGUAAAGCGCAAGCAGGCGGUCUGUCAAGUCGGAUGUGAAAUCCCCGGGCUCAACCUGGGAACUGCAUUCGAAACUGGCAGGCUAGAGUCUUGUAGAGGGGGGUAGAAUUCCAGGUGUAGCGGUGAAAUGCGUAGAGAUCUGGAGGAAUACCGGUGGCGAAGGCGGCCCCCUGGACAAAGACUGACGCUCAGGUGCGAAAGCGUGGGGAGCAAACA
rnacentral:rRNA from 1 species